GACGAACGCUGGCGGCGUGCCUAAUACAUGCAAGUCGAACGCACUCUCGUUUAGAUUGAAGGAGCUUGCUCCUGAUUGAUAAACAUUUGAGUGAGUGGCGGACGGGUGAGUAACACGUGGGUAACCUGCCCUAAAGUGGGGGAUAACAUUCGGAAACAGAUGCUAAUACCGCAUAAAACCUAAACACCGCAUGGUGUAGGGUUGAAAGAUGGUUUCGGCUAUCACUUUAGGAUGGACCCGCGGUGCAUUAGUUAGUGGUGAGGUAAAGGACUCACCAAGACCGUGAUGCAUAGCCGACCUGA
rnacentral:rRNA from 1 species